GGCCUGAUGGUCUAGUAGUAUGAUUCCUUGUUAGGGUUGGUCAGAGUCGAAAAGACAGCUACUUAUCGAGGAGGUCCCGGGUUCAAUUCCCGGUCAGGCCC